AUUUGAAUAUGCUCAAGGAUUUUCUCCGUGAGGAGAAAUUCCAGAAAGGAACAGUUCACUAGCUCAAGAAGGUCGGCUAUAGAAAUACUAAAAAUGAUGAUUUGUGGGACAGUCUGUCAAGUAUACUCUGAAUUUAUGAAAAAAGACCAACUGAGUGAAAUUCAAUGUGGACUCAAAUGGCUAAUACCCUAUUCACUAUAAAGGGUCAUGGAUGGAACCAACUGAUUCACAGAAUAUAAUGAACUCUAAGAUAUGCACAAGCCCCCGGCAUCUGUUUUAGACCUCAGUGCAGGGCAGUUGGCACUGGACAAAGCCCUCGACCUGAUUCACUAUCUCCAGUAUGAAACAAGCAGCCCUGUACUUCUCAAAGGCCAGAGAUGCUUAGAAUUAUUUUACCACAUGAUGGACAGAAGGAAUAUUUCAGAUGUCAUUGAAAAUCUCAAGGUAUAAAAGAGAUGAAUGAAAAUAAGAAAAUAAGGACAAACUCCUCUCAUUCAGCCCAGGCAAAGCAUCGCUAGGAAAGUGACCUAGUGAAGCAGUUGAAAGAAACUAUGUUUUGGAAGUCCUCCUCCAAAACUGGAUUUGUCCUGAGUUUUUUCAGUGUUUCGACUUGUGUGAGAACUAGAACCCACUCCAGUAUGUUCCUAGACCUAAAAUAUCUCUCAGAAAGAACCAAUGAUGACUAGAUUUCAUUGGAAGAUUUGACUUGGGCUCGUUUGCCAUGAGAACCAUCACUUCUGCUACAACAAUCUCACUUUUUUCCCUAGGAUGAGCUACAAGAGUUUUGUUAAUUUCUAUUGUUAACGAAUUUAAAAUAAAUGUCCAAAAUGUAAAAUUGAAGAUACAUUUACAUGCAUUCUGGUUUGAAGUUCUCAUUUUAUCAUGAAAAAAGUUAUUUGUCCAAUGCCAUGGAACAUUGUAAAUGAAAGGGAGAGGAUUAAAGUCUGACUCUUAAAGUAGCUCCCCAUAGCAUUCCAAAUUAAUAUACAAUAAUAAUAUUGAUAGAUGAGAAGAUUAUUCUGAAGUUUGGAAAAGUAGCUAACUGUAUUUUCUUUUUUUAUUAUUCAUUCAGUAUAUUGGUACAUUUUAGGUAUACACUAUGA